UACUUGGAUGUUGGGUAAAACGGAACGUGU
rnacentral:piRNA from 1 species